rnacentral:rRNA from 1 species
CCUACGGGGGCAGCAGUGAGGAAUAUUGGUCCAUGGGCGCGAGCCUGAACCAGCCAAGUAGCGUGAAGGAUGACUGCCCUACGGGUUGUAAACUUCUUUUAUAAAGGAAUAAAGUGAGGCACGGGUGCCUUUUUGUAUGUACUUUAUGAAUAAGGAUCGGCUAACUCCGUGCAAGCAGCCGCGGUAAUACGGAGGAUCCGCGCGUUAUCCGGAUUUUUUGGGGUUAAAGGGAGCGUAGAGGGGUUGUUAAGUCAGGUGUGAAAGUUUGCGGGUCAACCGUAAAAUUGCAAUUGAUACUGGCAGUCUUGAGUACAGUUGAGGUAGGCGGAAUGCGUGGUGUAGCGGUGAAAUGCUUAGAUAUCACGAAGAACUCCGAUUGCGAAGGCAGCUUACUAACCUGCCACUGACAUUGAUGCUCGAAAGUGUGGGUAUCAAACAGGAUUAGAUACCCGAGUAGUC